UUUACGGAGAGUUUGAUCCUGGCUCAGGACGAACGCUGGCGGCGUGCUUAACACAUGCAAGUCGAACGAUGAACUCCAGCUUGCUGGGGGGAUUAGUGGCGAACGGGUGAGUAACACGUGAGUAACCUGCCCUUGACUCUGGGAUAAGCGCUGGAAACGGCGUCUAAUACCGGAUACGAGCUUCAGCCGCAUGGCUAGGAGUUGGAAAGAAUUUCGGUCAAGGAUGGACUCGCGGCCUAUCAGCUAGUUGGUGAGGUAAUGGCUCACCAAGGCGACGACGGGUAGCCGGCCUGAGAGGGUGACCGGCCACACUGGGACUGAGACACGGCCCAGACUCCUACGGGAGGCAGCAGUGGGGAAUAUUGCACAAUGGGCGCAAGCCUGAUGCAGCAACGCCGCGUGAGGGA
rnacentral:rRNA from 1 species